CACAAGAGGGAUGGUAACUGGCUGUGGGAUUGAGCCCCAAGCUUGUUUAAAGAUUUGACUUGGUCACUUCAGCAUGAUUAAUGUUUACUUCGAUAUCUAAGGUGGGAAAUUUGCCUGUCAGCUCUGAAGACCGAAGCCUUCUCUGUGCUGUGCUCUUCAGAACACGUGAUAAUACUGGAAGUACCCGGAAGACAGGUCAGCGUGUGUUCAGUAUUUAUUUCUUCAUGGAUUCGAGGAUGUAUCAUCGGCUAUAUUCUUUUGACUUCAGCUCCUGCUGAGUUCUGAAUUAAAUUUAUAAUAUACAUUAACGACAGCGGGAGAAGGGACUUCCUGGCUGAGGGCUGGCAUGCUGUCACUUGUGUUGCCAAGGGAGGCAGCACCGUGCGUCCUCCUGAUGGUUUUGGCAGACCUCUGUGGCACCUCGGAGAUGGACAGUCAUCUCUCAGCACAUGCACUCUUGUACCGGGUUGCUUAUCAGGAUGUUUGGGGUGGACAAAUAGCUAAACACAGAGGAGCCUGGGAAAGCCCUGGGAGAAGGGCAGAGCGGCCGAUCUCAGCCUGACUCCUCAGCCGUAGAAAAUAAAAGUGCUCCUUUAUUUCCUUAAGAUGAAACUGAAUGGAUAAAAUAAUGCUUAUGUCUGAUGCCAGUUUUAAAAACCUGAUUUGCACUGACUUGAGAGGAACCAAUUGGCACUUGAAGGCAAAGACUAUGGAAAAAAAAAAAGAUGGAUGGAAAAUUCCACAACUCAAAAUCCCAGUUCCCAGGAAGCCAGCGAUUGUCACCUGAGAGGCCUCUGCUGAAUUUUUGGCACCCUUGCAUUGCUCACUUUGAAGAUGGAAGCAAGCAUCCUUUCUACUCUAUCAAGGCCUCCCAGAAGGAGACUCUGUUACAUUUGAUCACGGGAGACUUUCAGUACCAUCAAUUUAUUUAAAUCUAAAGUUGGGUUCCUCGCCACCUGGUUCAGAAGAGCACAGCUUCUAUAGUCAUGGAGCUGGGGAAGCGCAUGAACAUUGGAGACACUUGCUUUGCCGACAGCCUGCGUGGUAUACUGAAUGAUGACACCCACAUCAGGAGCAGUUCGUGCAGCAAAUGGGCUAUGUGGCCCCUUUUGGAUUCACCAUUGUUUCUUCUUUGCUUGGUCAUUUUGGAGCCAAGCCCCGAAUGAACUGAAUUUAGUUUCUCUUUCAUAUGUGAUUCC